CAAGUACUCCCUCCGUCCGGAAUUACUUGUCAUCAAAAUGGAUGUGUCUAGAACUAAAAUACAUGUAGAUACAUCCAUUUCAAUGACAAGUAUUUUCGGACGGAGGGAGUACAAG
rfam:Triticum aestivum genome assembly, contig: Triticum_aestivum_CS42_TGACv1_scaffold_070232_1DL